CAGAGUUUCGACACCUCCACUCUGCCACAUUCUAGCGUGAGGUCAUCAAUAGACUACUUCAGACAAUCUCUCCUCCCUCUCCUCCACCCCUCCCUCAUAAAAAGAACGGAAGAAGAAAGCGCCUGUUAAAGCAAGAUAUUAAAUUGGCUUUUGCAACCAAAGAUGUGCAGGCCGUGAGGGUGAGCACCGGGGCUGGAGGCCAGGAGGGAAGCCCAAUGCAUUGCUGACCCCAGGAAUCUCCUUUAUUAUCUGCCCUUUGUGCGCGUCCUCCUCGGCUGACCUGUCAGAUCAUUGAGGCCCCGUCACAGCCACCUACAUUAUAUCCUGUGUAGGCAGGACAUUCAUGCUUUUAGGGGUUUUUGUAGCCCCCCAUUGUCAUUCACGCGCUGCUGAGAGCUGGGGCCGAGGAUGUGAGAAAGCUGGCCCCGGCAUUGUGUCCCUCUCCGCUCUUUACCAGCUCCACGGGGGACUUCCUUUUUAAUGUCGGGGUAAUCCGAGGGCCCGGGACCUGGCCACAGGCGAGCAGGGGUGGGGAGUUCGGUGGGCAGGGGCUUAAAUCUGCCCUAAUGGUGGGUUAAUGUAUCGCCGCGGCCCUGCCCGGUGAUCUGCGAGCUCAGAGGUUUCAGCCACAGGGAUGUGCUGUACGCACGCGGAGAAACCGGCAGAAUUUACGAGCUCGGCCAGUGCCCUGAUGCAGGGACACAGUCUUUUCAUGGGGUGCUUUAGGGUGUUUUGUCCUUAAAUUCGACUAAUGAACUUACCUAAACAUGGCUGUCUUUUAUUAUGCAUCAUGUGCAGUAUUUGGUAUAUAACACCCAGACUACUGUGUCUGUGAAUACAGUUAUGAGGGAAAAGCAACAGGGCUUAAUAUCCUCAUAUAUCCAGUAUACAGAUGAAUACUUGAACAAUGUUUAAAUAUCCUGUUCAUAGUACAAUGCUUCACUUGGGAAUUUAAUCUGCAGCCUAUUGUUAAAGGCCAGACAUUUAACUGCUCCACAAAGCCACUGUAGGUACAUAUAUGUUUGUUUGCUGGGAGUAGAGGUGGUAAUAAGAGUUUAGUUAAAUUGAGGUCAGCAUUGUUGUGUGGCUAGUUUUAUGCUUUCCUAAGGAUUGUGCUUUUAAACAUGAAAUUGCAAAGCACGCUUGCUGUGAAGUAUAUUGAGCUAAAAGGUCAAAGGUUACAGCGUAUGCAUGCACAGUAUUGACGUCCUGAAGUGAAUUCUGUACAGGUCACGGCGUAAGCAGCACGGCGCGAUGUCUGUGUGUGGCGUGAAGGCGGAAUUUCCCUGAGACGGCCGCGAUGGUUGUCACAGUGGGACCUGCUGCUGAUGUUAGGGAUGUCAGGAGCAUGCUGGGAUAAUCUCAUUAAGCGUGACUCCUCCGGCAUGUUUCCCAGCAAGGGAGAGCAGAGCUUUAUGAGGAGCUGACGUACCACACGCAAACUGCUCCUGUAUCCUGAGACGUGGACACACCAAGGGCGGGUUAAUGGCCUGACAGGGUCUGCCUUUAGUACGGCACAAUCUCUAAACUUUUGCUCAGGUUCAAUCAACAUUCACCGUUUUAUUUACUGAUAAAUGUCCGUUUUCUCCGCAGACAGUACAGCAGGUUAUUUUGGGGGGUGUGUGAAGUCAUUUAUGAGCGUGGUAGCAGUUGUUAUUUUUCCUGCUCAAAGGACAUCAUUUUUACUUUCAUCUCAGCAUUUUUUGACAGAUUCUAAACAAAUGUGUCUCGUUUUAUUCUUCUCAUUAGUAGGGAUGAUAAAACAAACACUGAAAUGCAGCGAUUUAAGCAAUUAAUUCUCAGUCAUUUUAUUUAUUUUUACCUUUUUUGAUUGUACAAAGUAUUUCCAAAUUUUACAUGAAUUCUCCCAGUUUCUCCUGGAACUUCUAACACAUGCAAAAACUCCAGUUACAGUGAAGCAAGAAUCAUCUGCUUUUUGCCGGCAAAAGUUUAUGAUCUUAAAACUUUUUGAGCUGGGCAGACAGGAGCUUCAGCAGCAAUUAUAUCUUUUUUUAGGUCACUUGGACUAAACAGUAAUUUUCUUUGAAUGUGCUGCUUGCGAGAUGAAAGCAGGAGUUGGUCUCUUCACGUGUAGGAGGAUCUGUUUACAGGAGUUGACAGCUACAUGUGGUGGUACAAAGCUCAGUCAUUAGUUAAAAAAAGAAAAAUAAGAAAAAGCAAAUUGCACUUAAAGCUCUACCCACAUUGUUAUGACAGUCCCUGUCUCCUAUUAAAUGAUGUAAUUCAU